GAAUCCACACUCUCCCUGAAUCCACAACACCUUUGGCAAGUUCUGCCACCGGGCUCCCAAGAACAUGGACUUCAGCUUCACCUCCCUAAAACUAAAGAUAAAUGAAAGGCGAAGGGGCAAGCAGGAAGCCAGAAGAUGUAUUGGCAGGCACUCUUAGCGGUGACUUGAGAAUUUCUCCAUGAAGAAAAAGCUAAGCUGGUGUGAAACUGUCGAGCAGGACAUGAGAACUUGGGGCUCAAAGAGAAUGAAAGGAUGCUUGACACCUGGCUAAAAAGAAAGAGGACUCUGAGGUCAAGUUCAGAGGUGCAGGCUGGAAAGUACAUCUGUGAGAAGCAUGUCAAAUGACUGUGGGGGCAGAACUUGCACAGAGGAGCUCAGGCCUAGAGCAGCAGCAGAACCUUGCAACUAGACAAGAACUACACACCAAAGGUUACAGAAAGCACUGGGAACCCAACUGUGUGAAAGCUGGCUUUAUUCUGACCACAAUGCCACAAAAUCCAUGCUCCACAUGCCACAGCCCUAACUGUUCCUAGCGGUGCUUUCCGGUGCGAUUGAAGCGCCUGUACAGGUACCGGAUCCUCUUUUUGAGAUUGUGGAGGUCAUCUUCAAACAUCCGAUCUCCUACCACCUGCUUCUUCCGGAUGCACCUCUGCAGUUCGUUCCCCCGCCAGCCUCGCAGCCACUUGGGGCCCACGAUGAGGUUCUUUGGGUGGAUCUGGAAGCCACCUGAGAAUAGGAGAGCAGAACAGAGAGAAUGAGGCUGUUCCCAGCGUGCCCGGCCCAGUUGCCCCUACCCUGUCCCUCUAGCAGCUUGGAGGAGCCACUCGCCGGAAGGUGGGUCCAGCAUCCCUCUUCUCCAACUCUGGGACCACAGCGGGGAGAGUGAGGAGGCCUUACCUAGGAUCCCCACGUUGUCGUAGAUCCCGAACAAGGCCCGUUUUUCCGUCCACCGAUCCACCUGCUUGCGCUUCGGCGGCUCCUUGAUGCGGAUGGGCCGAGUGAGUCCUGCCAGAGGCGAGGAAAGGGGCACAGGGAGGCCGGGCCGCACAGGCCCCCAGCUCGCCCCACCGCCGCUAAUGCUCCGCUCAGUCCCGAGCAGGGGCGCGGCUCGGUUCAGCAGGGCUCGCCCCGCUGCUCGCACCAGCGCCAUCGCCGCCCUAGGGGUGACCCCGCCGGCGGUGCCCCACCGCCAGGGGACGAAGAGAGGGGGGGAAGGAGAAGGAGGAGCGGGGCCGCCGGGCCGCCCACCUCCGACCCGGCCACUUCCGGCCCCAGUGGGCGUCGGGAAACGGAAAGGCGAGAGGGUGACGUCGUGCCUAACGGUCAGGGGCGGGGAAGGGGAGCGGGCGAGGAUUGGGCCAGAUGCUCGCGCUGCGUCUCGCUGCUGGGCGCUGAUUGGCUGAGAGAGGGGGCGGGGCCGGCGAGGCCCGCGCGCGCUGGUUUGAGUGCCCGGGCUUAGGAGGGUGAGAAGGAGGUGGCGGCGGUCGCGGCCGCUUGCGGGGCUGAGUCGGGGGCCAUGGACGCGACUUGGGAGUUCCAGCUGCCCCUCGCCUCCAGCGAUCUGCUGGAGGACCGCGGCCCCGGGCAGUACGUGGUGCAGAAGGUGCUGCGUGUAGGCGAGCUCCUGCCCGCCCUCAAAGACUUCAGAGCCGCUGUCCGGACGCGGGGUGCAUUGGCAGUGCUGGAGCACUUCGACCCACUCUAUAGCUUGCUGCACCGCUUCCGAACUGUGGAGACUGCUGUAAAGGAGGAUGCCCUGGAGCUGAUGAUGCACGUGGUGUCCCAUCAUUCCAAUGAACUUGCUACCAUCUUGGGUGAUUCUGGGCUGAGCCGUACGGACCAUGCUGCGCACCUCAAUGCCCUCAAAAUGAACUGCUAUUUGCUGACUGGCCUGGCGGACGCCUUUGAAAUAGAAAACUGCAAGAGUGGUUUGUUGGAGGUGGAUGCUAGUGGGAAGAACAAGAAGAACCGUGCCAGGAUUGCUGGGUCCUUGUGGGAAGAGGAGAGGGAGCCACUCUUGCGGCUACUCACACAGUUGCUGCAGCUGGAUCUCCGUCAGCUUUGGGGUGGUUUGGUGGUGGAAGAAGAGUUUGUCAGCUUAAUGACAGGAGCCUGUUAUCGUAUCCUGGAAAAUCCAAGUAUUGGUCAUCAGAAGUACCGGGCCACACGGGAGGCUUUGACACAUCUGCUUGCUGCAGCUCUGACUCACUAUGAUCACAUGUUCAGUGCCACUCUGAAGAUCACUCAGAUGCUGCAGCACUUUGAACACGUAGCCCCAGUGUUUGCGCAGGCUGUGAGCCUCUGGGCUACGGAGUAUGGUCUGAAGAGCCUGGUGGGUGAAUUGCUAAGGGAAAUUGGACAGAAAUGUCCACAGGAUGCGGCGCGCGAUGCUUCUGGAAUCAAGGGUUAUGCUACUUUUAUAACUGAGCUGGCUGAACAGAUUCCAGCUCUGGUGUUAUCCAACAUAAGCGUUCUCCUGCGUCACUUGGAUGGAGAGAGUUAUGUGAUGCGAAAUGCGAUUCUAGGAGCUAUGGCAGAAAUCCUGGUGCAGGUCCUGAAUGGUAACCAGCUGGAGGAGGCUGCCUGUGGUACUCGGGACCAGUUCCUGGGUAUACUGCAGGCCCACGUCUGUGACAUCCAUGGCUUUGUCCGCAGUCGUGUGCUGCAGCUUUUCACUCGAAUCGUUCAGUGCAAGGCCCUGCCUUUGACUCAGUUUCAGUCUGUGGUGUCGCUGGCUGUCGAGCGUCUCAAAGACAAAUCCGUGGUGGUAGUUAAAAAUGCAAUCCAGUUGCUGGCUGCAUUUUUGUCCAACAAUCCCUUCUCCUGCAAGUUAAGCUGUGCUGACUUGGCUGAGCUAUUGAAGAAAGAGGUGCAGAAGCUGAAAGAAAUGAAGGACCGUGACAGAUCCACAGCAGCUCCAGUGAUCACCCCAGAGGAAGAGUGGGAAGCAAUGCUACCAGAAGUUAGGGCUGCCAUACAGAAGCUCUUUCAACCACUGCAGGAAGGGGAAGAGGAGGUGCUGGAAGUUGAAGAAACAGUGGAGAGUACAUUGAAGCAAAUCACUGAGCUACUGGGGAAGCUGAAUUACAAGAGUGCAGCCUGCCUUACACAGAAGGCCCUGUGUUGCUUCCAGGGGAAGGAGCCCUUCAAUGGUCCUAUGGAGGAAAACGAGGAGGCAACAAUCCUGGGUGUUCUGAAGAGACUUUACAUAGGUUCAUAUCCACGUGAGAACAGUGAGGAUUCUUCAAGUGACGAGAGUCUUAAGACUGCAGAAGUUGUAUCAGAAGAGCAGCCUCAAACAGAACUGGCCAAACAGGAGAUGCUGGUGCAAUACCUUCAAGAUGCUUAUGACUUCUCAGUGAAAAUCACAGAAGUCCUGAGCCUGAUCAGCAAGAUGAUGUACGAAAACUGUGUUUCAGUGGUGCAGGAAGCCAUUGAGUUCUUUGUGACAGUGUCACAGUUCGGGGUGCCCCAGGCACUGCCUGGAGUCCGCAGGAUGCUCCCCCUCAUAUGGUCAAAAGAGUCUGGUAUUAAGGAGGCUGUGCUCAAUGCUUACAGACGGCUCUAUCUGAGUCCCAGCGGGGAUUCAGAGAGGGACAGGGCCCAGGGCCUGGUGCAUUCUCUCUCUCUCAUCAUGGUGGACGCAUCACUAGGAAUGAUACAGUGCUUAGAAGAAAUAAUCUCAGAGUUUGUGCAGAAAGAUGAAAUAAAGCCUGCUGUGAUCCAACUGCUUUGGGAGAGAUUCACAGAAAAAUCACAGUGCUCAUCGCUGGAACGACGUGCUGCUGUGAUGCUGCUGGGGAUGAUGGCACGAGGGAAGCCAGAGAUCAUAGGUAGCAACCUGGACAUCUUGGUGACAGUAGGGUUGUCUGAGAAAGUAUGUGAAGACUAUUGCCUGGCUAAAGAAGUAUGCAAUGCCAUCUCCAAACUUGCUACUAGCCCUAAGCCAGCAGCGGGGAGGAGCACUGCACCUUUUCGACUGCCACAGGACCACGUGCUCUUUGAGUGCCUUAGUGAGACUCUGAGUAAAGGCUUUGUCCAGCCAAGUGGUCACUGGAUCCCCUUCAUGGAGGCAGCAGUAAUGCUCGUCUACCAGCUAGCAGAAGGGGCAGAGGAGAUUUGUGCUCACAUCCUGCAGGUGUGCAGUCAGCGAGCUCUAGAGAAACUUCAGGAGGCUGAUGGGCAGGAAGCCGGGAUUUCUCCCAGCAGAGUUUCUGAUGGUGCUAGCAGUCUCCCCACAUUCCUGCUGAUGCAUCUGGUGUCACUUGUGGGACAGGUGGCACUGCAGCAGGUAGUAUAUUUGGAAGUGUCAGUGAGUGCAGAGCUACGCAGACAUCGCACCCUCAGAGAGGAGGAGAAGGCGACCAAGAAGCUCUCUGACAGCAGCAUAAAGAAGAAGAGACCCCGGAGCACAGGAAAUGAGACUACAGUGGAGGAGGAGCUGGGCCUCGUGGGAGCCUCAGCUGAUGACACUGAGGCUGAGCUCGUCCGCAGUAUUUGUGAGACAGAACUUCUAGAUGAGAACCACCUGCUCUCUGCCUUUGUUCCACUGGUGCUGACGAUCUGCAACAACCCUGGCCUCUACAGUGAUCCGGCACUCUCAGCUGCUGCAGCCCUGGCUCUUGGCAAAUUCUGCAUGAUCAGCUCUGAGUUCUGUGACUCCCACUUGCGCCUGCUAUUCACUAUGAUGGAGAAGUCCACUUGGCCUGGUGUGAGAUCCAACCUCAUCAUUGCAGCAGGAGAUCUGGCCAUCCGUUUCCCCAACCUGGUGGAGCCUUGGACAUCACAUCUCUAUGCUAGGUUGCAGGACCCCUGCCCAAGCGUGAGGCAUACAGCUGCACUGGUGAUGACUCAACUUAUCCUCAAAGACAUGGUAAAGGUGAAGGGCCAAGUGAGUGAAAUGGCAAUGCUGCUUAUAGACCCAGAAUCAACAAUCAUGAAAGUGGCUCAAAACUUCUUCAAUGAACUCUCCAACAAGGGUAAUGCCGUCUAUAACCUGCUUCCAGACAUAAUCAGUCGUCUCUCAGAUCCCAACUGCGGUGUAGAGGAGGAAUCCUUCCGUACUAUUAUGAGACAUCUCUUCUCAUAUAUUACUAAAGACAGACAGACAGAAAGCUUGGUGGAGAAACUUUGUCAGCGAUUCCGGACUGCCAGAACUGAGCGUCAACAUCGGGAUCUGUCCUACUGCCUUACUCUGCUUCCUCUCACGGACCGGGGUCUUCAGAAGCUGCAGGACAACUUUGACUGCUAUGCAGACAAGGUCCAAGACCCAGCUGUCUACAGUUGUUUCCAAACUGUGCUGGCUCGAUUCCGCAGAACAGGCGGCAAACCUGAGACUAAAGCUCUGGCUGAAGAGCUGGAGCAGAAGCUGUUUGCCUCCCAUAACCGAGGGCUGGAUUCAGUAGAGACGUGCCAGGAAGGUAGCAGAACUCCAAUGACAGAGGUGGCCAAGCAGAAACCAACAGGAAGUAUGGUCUGGGGGGGGGUUUUGUGAGACUUCAGCGUUUUCCCUGAUCCUGCAGUUCAGCAGAGAUACCUAGGGACUUUUCUUCACUCUUAAAGACAGAAUGGCUGCUACCUUUCUCUUUUUUCUCAGCAGGUUCACGCCACCAGCCCCUGAGGAUGAAGAAAAGAGCUGAAGAUUUUGACACACCCCAGCCUCGCACCCUCCGAAAUCAUAAGUAUGCCCAAAAGCGCCCUCCAGCCAAGAAAGCCCUUGUGACUUUCUCCAGUGAUGAGACCAGCUCUGAGGAUGACCCAUCAGCAGAACCGGAUGAAACCCCCACCAAAACAACUCCUAUCACCAGGUCUUCAGCCCGCCGACUGCGCUGAGGGAACCGUCUGCCACUAUCCUGAACUAAAAAUAAAACUCAUUUUG